GUUGAAAUGGCAGAAGAGUAAUGCGUUGGAUUUAAGCUUCAAAGAUGAGGUUUUACCUCUUUUAACA
rnacentral:tRNA from 1 species